rnacentral:rRNA from 1 species
CCUACGGGGGGCUGCAGUGGGGAAUAUUGGACAAUGGGCGAAAGCCUGAUCCAGCCAUGCCGCGUGUGUGAAGAAGGCCUUCGGGUUGUAAAGCACUUUCAGUGGGGAAGAAAGCCUUGGGGCUAAUACCCUCGAGGAAGGACAUCACCCACAGAAGAAGCACCGGCUAACUCCGUGCCAGCAGCCGCGGUAAUACGGAGGGUGCGAGCGUUAAUCGGAAUUACUGGGCGUAAAGCGCGCGUAGGCGGUCUGAUAAGCCGGUUGUGAAAGCCCCGGGCUCAACCUGGGAACGGCAUCCGGAACUGUCAGGCUAGAGUGCAGGAGAGGAAGGUAGAAUUCCCGGUGUAGCGGGGAAAUGCGUAGAGAUCGGGAGGAAUACCAGUGGCGAAGGCGGCCUUCUGGACUGACACUGACGCUGAGGUGCGAAAGCGUGGGUAGCAAACAGGAUUAGAUACCCCAGUAGUC